rnacentral:lncRNA from 1 species
UCUAUCACUACUUCAUUUUCCUUUUCAGGUUCUUGGACCUGAAUCUUCACCUCACUCGAAGUACUAGGUACUGAUGUGUUAAAUUUUCCUAACUCCACCUUAAAUCGAUUUCUUUCUUCACCUGAUUCAGUUUCACUUACAGGUUCGGUUUCAUUCCUUAGACAAGGCAUCUCACUCUCAUUAAAUGUGACAUCCCUACUCAC